rnacentral:rRNA from 1 species
AGCCUGAACCAGCCAAGUAGCGUGAAGGAUGAAGGCUCUAUGGGUCGUAAACUUCUUUUAUAUAAGAAUAAAGUGCAGUAUGUAUACUGUUUUGUAUGUAUUAUAUGAAUAAGGAUCGGCUAACUCCGUGCCAGCAGCCGCGGUAAUACGGAGGAUCCGAGCGUUAUCCGGAUUUAUUGGGUUUAAAGGGAGCGUAGGUGGACUGGUAAGUCAGUUGUGAAAGUUUGCGGCUCAACCGUAAAAUUGCAGUUGAUACUGUCAGUCUUGAGUACAGUAGAGGUGGGCGGAAUUCGUGGUGUAGCGGUGAAAUGCUUAGAUAUCACGAAGAACUCCGAUUGCGAAGGCAGCUCACUGGACUGCAACUGACACUGAUGCUCGAAAGUGUGGGUAUCAAACAGGAUUAGAUACCCUGGUAGUCCACACAGUAAACGAUGAAUACUCGCUGUUUGCGAUAUACAGUAAGCGGCCAAGCGAAAGCAUUAAGUAUUCCACCUGGGGAGUACGCCGGCAACGGUGAAACUCAAAGGAAUUGACGGGGGCCCGCACAAGCGGAGGAACAUGUGGUUUAAUUCGAUGAUACGCGAGGAACCUUACCCGGGCUUAAAUUGCAGUGGAAUGAUGUGGAAACAUGUCAGUGAGCAAUCACCGCUGUGAAGGUGCUGCAUGGUUGUCGUCAGCUCGUGCCGUGAGGUGUCGGCUUAAGUGCCAUAACGAGCGCAACCCUUAUCUUUAGUUACUAACAGGU